rnacentral:rRNA from 1 species
AGUGAACGCUGGCGGUAGGCCUAACACAUGCAAGUCGAACGGCAGCACAGUAAGAGCUUGCUCUUACGGGUGGCGAGUGGCGGACGGGUGAGGAAUACAUCGGAAUCUACUUUUUCGUGGGGGAUAACGUAGGGAAACUUACGCUAAUACCGCAUACGACCUACGGGUGAAAGCAGGGGAUCUUCGGACCUUGCGCGAUUGAAUGAGCCGAUGUCGGAUUAGCUAGUUGGCGGGGUAAAGGCCCACCAAGGCGAUGAUCCGUAGCUGGUCUGAGAGGAUGAUCAGCCACACUGGAACUGAGACACGGUCCAGACUCCUACGGGAGGCAGCAGUGGGGAAUAUUGGACAAUGGGCGCAAGCCUGAUCCAGCCAUACCGCGUGGGUGAAGAAGGCCUUCGGGUUGUAAAGCCCUUUUGUUGGGAAAGAAAAGCAGCAGGUUAACACCCCGCUGUUCUGACGGUACCCAAAGAAUAAGCACCGGCUAACUUCGUG